GACGAACGCUGGCGGCGUGCCUAAUACAUGCAAGUAGAACGCUGAAGGAGGAGCUUGCUCUUCUGGAUGAGUUGCGAACGGGUGAGUAACGCGUAGGUAACCUGCCUGGUAGCGGGGGAUAACUAUUGGAAACGAUAGCUAAUACCGCAUAAGAGUAGAUGUUGCAUGACAUUUACUUAAAAGGUGCAAUUGCAUCACUACCAGAUGGACCUGCGUUGUAUUAGCUAGUUGGUGGGGUAACGGCUUACCAAGGCGACGAUACAUAGCCGACCUGAGAGGGUGAUCGGCCACACUGGGACUGAGACACGGCCCAGACUCCUACGGGAGGCAGCAGUAGGGAAUCUUCGGCAAUGGACGGAAGUCUGACCGAGCAAUGCCGCGUGAGUGAAGAAGGUUUUCGGAUCGUAAAGCUCUGUUGUAAGAGAAGAACGAGUGUGAGAGUGGAAAGUUCACACUGUGACGGUAUCUUACCAGAAAGGGACGGCUAACUACGUG
rnacentral:rRNA from 1 species